rnacentral:rRNA from 1 species
UGGGGAAUAUUGCACAAUGGACGGAAGUCUGAUGCAGCAACGCCGCGUGCGGGAUGACGGCCUUCGGGUUGUAAACCGCUUUUUCUCAUGACGAAGUUUUUUGACGGUAGUGGGGGAAGAAGCACCGGCUAACUACGUGCCAGCAGCCGCGGUGAUACGUAGGGUGCGAGCGUUGUCCGGAAUUAUUGGGCGUAAAGAGCUUGUAGGCGGUUUGUCGCGUCGAUAGUGCAAACUCAGUGCUUAACGCUGAGCCUGCUGUUGAUACGGGCAGACUAGAGGAAGGUGGGGGAGAAUGGAAUUCCCGGUGUGGCGGUGGAAUGCGAGGAUAUCGGGAGGAACACCGGUGGGGAAGGGGGUUCUCUGGGCCUUUCCUGACGCGGAGAAGCGAAAGCGUGGGGAGCGAACAGG